GAUGAACGCUGGCGGCGUGCCUAAUACAUGCAAGUCGAGCGAAGCGGGGACGGGUGAGUAACACGUGGAUAACCUCCUAUACGUCCGGGAUAACUUCGGGAAACCCGAGCUAAAGCGGCUACUUAUAUAUGGAUCCGCGCUGCAUUAGCUAGUUGGUAAGGUAACGGCUAACCAAGGCAACGAUGCAUAGCCGACCUGAGAGGGUGAUCGGCCAAACUGGGACUGAGACACGGUCCAGACUCCUACGGGAGGCAGCAGUAGGGAAUCUUCCGCAAUGGGCGAAAGCCUGACGGAGCAACGCCGCGUGAGUGAUGAAGUUCUUCGGAUCGUAAAACUCUGUUAUUAGGGAAGCGGUACCUAAUCAGAAAGCCACGGCUAACUACGUGCCAGCAGCCGCGGUAAUAC
rnacentral:rRNA from 1 species